GAAAAGGGUGCUGGCCACAACAGACUGGUAGAAGAUCUCCAGCAUCACACGUUGAAGGAUCUCAGCUUCCUCGGGAAGUAGAGUCUGCUGCAGGCCUUCUUGUACACAGCUGUACUGUUGGUCAUUUAGUUCAGUCUGCUGUCGAUGGUCACUCCCAGGUAUUUGUACUCCUCCACCACAUCCACAUCCCUGCCAAGGAUGCUGAGGGGCUGAGGAAGAAAGUGAUUCUCACUGAGUGUUGAGUUGAGCUGAAGGCCGCCCCCUCUGGCUGGUUACAUCAGGGUCGGGUGUGUCUCCCAGCCAGGAGGCAGCUGAUUAAGUGCACCAGGUGGAGACAAUCUGGAAAUCAGGAUGGUUUGGAGGCACUCACUCACAGGGCAUUGAGGAGCGAGGAGUGUGUGAAGGAACUGGUGCUUGGGAAAAGGAGACUGCAGGAUAGAAGAAGGAGCCGGAAAAUGACCCCAAACACACCUCCAGGGCUAUUUGACCAAGAAGGAGAGAUGAAGUGCUGCACCAGAUGACCUCGUCUCCAGUCACCUGACCUAAACCCAAUCGAGAUAGUUUGGGAUGAUAUGAAUUACAGAGUCGAGGCAAAUGGACUGUUGGAAAAUCAUUUCAGAUGAAGCUCAUUGAGAGAAUGCUACAAGUGUGCAAAGCAGUAAUCAAAGUGAAGGGUGGCUAUUUUGAAGAAUCUAAAAUAUAAAACAUGCUUUGAGUUCU